rnacentral:rRNA from 1 species
GAUCAACGCUGGCGGCGUGCUUAACACAUGCAAGUCGAACGAAGUUUUUCUUUCGGGAGGACUUAGUGGCGGACGGGUGAGUAACGCGUGGGUAACCUGCCCUGUACAGGGGGACAACAGCUGGAAACGGCUGCUAAUACCGCAUAAGCCCUUAGCACUGCAUGGUGCAUAGGGAAAAGGAGCAAUCCGGUACAGGAUGGACCCGCGUCUGAUUAGCCAGUUGGCAGGGUAACGGCCUACCAAAGCGACGAUCAGUAGCCGAUCUGAGAGGAUGUACGGCCACAUUGGGACUGAGACACGGCCCAGACUCCUACGGGAGGCAGCAGUGGGGAAUAUUGCACAAUGGAGGAAACUCUGAUGCAGCGACGCCGCGUGAGUGAAGAAGUAUUUCGGUAUGUAAAGCUCUAUCAGCAGGAAAGAAAAUGACGGUACCUGACGAAGAAGCACCGGCUAAAUACGUG